rnacentral:rRNA from 1 species
GAUGAACGCUGGCGGCGUGCCUAAUACAUGCAAGUCGAGCGAACAGACGAGGAGCUUGCUCCUCUGACGUUAGCGGCGGACGGGUGAGUAACACGUGGAUAACCUACCUAUAAGACUGGGAUAACUUCGGGAAACCGGAGCUAAUACCGGAUAAUAUAUUGAACCGCAUGGUUCAAUAGUGAAAGACGGUUUUGCUGUCACUUAUAGAUGGAUCCGCGCCGCAUUAGCUAGUUGGUAAGGUAACGGCUUACCGAGGCAACGAUGCGUAGCCGACCUGGGAGGGUGAUCGGCCACACUGGAACUGGGACACGGUCCAGACUCCUACGGGAGGCGGCGGUAGGGAAUCUUGCGCAAUGGGCGAAAGCCUGACGGAGCAACGCCGCGUGAGGGAUGAAGGUCUUCGGAUCGUAAAACUCUGUUAUUAGGGAAGAACAAAUGUGUAAGUAACUAUGCACGUCUUGACGGUACCUAAUCAGAAAGCCACGGCUAACUACGUG